UUAAGCGACUAAGCGUACACGGUGGAUGCCCUGGCAGUCAGAGGCGAUGAAGGGCGUGCUAAUCUGCGAUAAGCGCCGGUAAGGUGAUAUGAACCGUUAUAACCGGCGAUACCCGAAUGGGGAAACCCAGUGUGACUCGUCACACUAUCAUUAACUGAAUCCAUAGGUUAAUGAGGCGAACCGGGGGAACUGAAACAUCUAAGUACCCCGAGGAAAAGAAAUCAACCGAGAUUCCCCCAGUAGCGGCGAGCGAACGGGGAGGAGCCCAGAGCCUGAAUCAGCAUGUGUGUUAGUGGAAGCGUCUGGAAAGGCGCGCGAUACAGGGUGACAGCCCCGUACACAAAAGCGCAUGUGCUGUGAGCUCGAUGAGUAGGGCGGGACACGUGGUAUCCUGUCUGAAUAUGGGGGGGACCAUCCUCCAAGGCUAAAUACUCCUGACUGACCGAUAGUGAACCAGUACCGUGAGGGAAAGGCGAAAAGAACCCCGGCGAGGGGAGUGAAAAAGAACCUGAAACCGUGUACGUACAAGCAGUGGGAGCACAGGUUUACCUGUGUGACUGCGUACCUUUUGUAUAAUGGGUCAGCGACUUAUAUUCUGUAGCAAGGUUAACCGAAUAGGGGAGCCGGAGGGAAACCGAGUCUUAAUUGGGCGUUAAGUUGCAGGGUAUAGACCCGAAACCCGGUGAUCUAGCCAUGGGCAGGUUGAAGGUUGGGUAACACUAACUGGAGGACCGAACCGACUAAUGUUGAAAAAUUAGCGGAUGACCUGUGGCUGGGGGUGAAAGGCCAAUCAAACCGGGAGAUAGCUGGUUCUCCCCGAAAGCUAUUUAGGUAGCGCCUCGUGAACUCAUCUCCGGGGGUAGAGCACUGUUUCGGCUAGGGGGCCAUCCCGGCUUACCAACCCGAUGCAAACUGCGAAUACCGGAGAAUGUUAUCACGGGAGACACACGGCGGGUGCUAACGUCCGUCGUGAAGAGGGAAACAACCCAGACCGCCAGCUAAGGUCCCAAAGUCAUGGUUAAGUGGGAAACGAUGUGGGAAGGCCCAGACAGCCAGGAUGUUGGCUUAGAAGCAGCCAUCAUUUAAAGAAAGCGUAAUAGCUCACUGGUCGAGUCGGCCUGCGCGGAAGAUGUAACGGGGCUAAACCAUGCACCGAAGCUGCGGCAGCGACGCUGAUGCGUUGUUGGGUAGGGGAGCGUUCUGUAAGCCUGCGAAGGUGGCCUGUGAGGGUUGCUGGAGGUAUCAGAAGUGCGAAUGCUGACAUAAGUAACGAUAAAGCGGGUGAAAAGCCCGCUCGCCGGAAGACCAAGGGUUCCUGUCCAACGUUAAUCGGGGCAGGGUGAGUCGACCCCUAAGGCGAGGCCGAAAGGCGUAGUCGAUGGGAAACGGGUUAAUAUUCCCGUACUUGGUGUUACUGCGAAGGGGGGACGGAGAAGGCUAUGUUGGCCGGGCGACGGUUGUCCCGGUUUAAGCGUGUAGGUGUGUGUUCCAGGUAAAUCCGGUUCACUUUAACACUGAGGCGUGAUGACGAGGCACUACGGUGCUGAAGCAACAAAUGCCCUGCUUCCAGGAAAAGCCUCUAAGCAUCAGGUAACAUCAAAUCGUACCCCAAACCGACACAGGUGGUCAGGUAGAGAAUACCAAGGCGCUUGAGAGAACUCGGGUGAAGGAACUAGGCAAAAUGGUGCCGUAACUUCGGGAGAAGGCACGCUGACAUGUAGGUGAAGUGAUUUACUCAUGGAGCUGAAGUCAGUCGAAGAUACCAGCUGGCUGCAACUGUUUAUUAAAAACACAGCACUGUGCAAACACGAAAGUGGACGUAUACGGUGUGACGCCUGCCCGGUGCCGGAAGGUUAAUUGAUGGGGUCAGCGCAAGCGAAGCUCCUGAUCGAAGCCCCGGUAAACGGCGGCCGUAACUAUAACGGUCCUAAGGUAGCGAAAUUCCUUGUCGGGUAAGUUCCGACCUGCACGAAUGGCGUAAUGAUGGCCAGGCUGUCUCCACCCGAGACUCAGUGAAAUUGAACUCGCUGUGAAGAUGCAGUGUACCCGCGGCAAGACGGAAAGACCCCGUGAACCUUUACUAUAGCUUGACACUGAACAUUGAGCCUUGAUGUGUAGGAUAGGUGGGAGGCUUUGAAGUGUGGACGCCAGUCUGCAUGGAGCCGACCUUGAAAUACCACCCUUUAAUGUUUGAUGUUCUAACGUGGACCCGUAAUCCGGGUUGCGGACAGUGUCUGGUGGGUAGUUUGACUGGGGCGGUCUCCUCCUAAAGAGUAACGGAGGAGCACGAAGGUUGGCUAAUCCUGGUCGGACAUCAGGAGGUUAGUGCAAUGGCAUAAGCCAGCUUGACUGCGAGCGUGACGGCGCGAGCAGGUGCGAAAGCAGGUCUUAGUGAUCCGGUGGUUCUGUAUGGAAGGGCCAUCGCUCAACGGAUAAAAGGUACUCCGGGGAUAACAGGCUGAUACCGCCCAAGAGUUCAUAUCGACGGCGGUGUUUGGCACCUCGAUGUCGGCUCAUCACAUCCUGGGGCUGAAGUAGGUCCCAAGGGUAUGGCUGUUCGCCAUUUAAAGUGGUACGCGAGCUGGGUUUAGAACGUCGUGAGACAGUUCGGUCCCUAUCUGCCGUGGGCGCUGGAGAACUGAGGGGGGCUGCUCCUAGUACGAGAGGACCGGAGUGGACGCAUCACUGGUGUUCGGGUUGUCAUGCCAAUGGCACUGCCCGGUAGCUAAAUGCGGAAAAGAUAAGUGCUGAAAGCAUCUAAGCACGAAACUUGCCCCGAGAUGAGUUCUCCCUGAGACUUAGAGUCUCCUGAAGGAACGUUGAAGACGACGACGUUGAUAGGCCGGGUGUGUAAGCGCAGCGAUGCGUUGAGCUAACCGGUACUAAUGAACCGUGAGGCUUAACCUU
rnacentral:rRNA from 1 species